GUUCACUUCGUGUUUGCUUUUCCUUUACUGUUUCUCUCUCUUUCUAUCUCUCUCUCUCUCCCCCCUUUCAGCAGUUUCCUCCAUUGCAAACCAAGCUUCCAUUCAAGCUUUCUGAGGGGCCCCUAUCUAUUCUCCACAUACAUACAAGACCCAUUAACCAUUUCACCCAUCUCUGCCUUUUUCCCCAAAAAUCAUCCAUUUUAUAUUAAAGUCUCUCUUUCUUUCUCUGUACACAUUUGCUUUUGAACAUUAGAUUUUUCUCUGGCUUCCUUUGCCGUUUCUUUUUAUCAUUCACCGAGUUUUUUUUUGCCACCACUUGUGCUUCUAAACUACUCAUCUAUGCAACUGUGCCUUUUUAGGCCUCUGGUUUGGUGGGUUUGUAUUAUUUGAAGACUGACGUCUACAUUGGGCCAUCUAUGCUUAUUGAAUUUCACUUGCAUCCAAAAAGGGAAGCCCUUUCUUUGCUUUUGUUGAUGCUCGAGGAAGAAGAUCAAGGGGGCUAGCUUAUACCCUUGGAUCGCUGCAAAGGUGGGCAUGUGUUGAUUUAUUGGCAUAUUAAGCGUGACCACCAAAUACAAUUUUGACUGUGGAGGAUCACAGAUGUCGUCUGAGAGUCUGAAUGCAGAAUUAUCAAAGAAGACAUCAAUUUUGGGUUUAAAAUUGUGGGUGUUAAUUGGAGUAUCUGUUGGAGCUUUUAUAAUUUUGAUUCUCUGUAUCCUGUCUGUAUGGGUUACGUUUCGGCGGAGAACUAGAAGAUCAGUGGACAAGUUCUCACUUUGUCAAAUACCAAAUGUGUCGAAGGAUAUCAAUGUUGACAGGGUUGGGGCUCAGAGUUUCAAUGAUCACCCCGGAAGUUUAUACCUCACCGUCCAUGAUAAAUCAACAGAUAAGAACUCAGAAAAGACACCAGUUUUGGGAAUGAGCAAAUCGAGUGAUGCUGAUAACAUCAGCCAAACUAGUUCAAUUUAUCAUCAUGAAAGAGGAUUUAGUUCGCACUCAGGGGAAGAAGGAAGCUCUGGGACUGUGAAGAAGCAGUCUUCAUUGUCAUAUGCAGGACUUGUGACAGCCUCCCCUUUAGUUGGCCUGCCAGAAAUUUCACAUCUUGGAUGGGGCCACUGGUUCACUCUCAGGGAUCUUGAGUUUGCAACAGACCGUUUUGCAGCAGAGAAUGUGAUUGGUGAGGGUGGUUAUGGGAUUGUUUAUAGGGGUAGGCUAAUCAAUGGAACUGAGGUAGCUGUGAAGAAGCUUCUUAACAAUCUGGGACAAGCAGAGAAAGAAUUUAGGGUUGAAGUGGAGGCCAUUGGUCAUGUUCGUCAUAAGAACCUAGUACGGCUUCUUGGCUACUGUAUUGAAGGAGUGCACAGGAUGCUGGUGUAUGAAUAUGUUAACAAUGGCAAUUUAGAACAAUGGCUACAUGGAGCAAUGUGCCAUCUUGGUACCCUGACAUGGGAGGCUCGCAUGAAGAUUCUUCUUGGCACUGCUAAGGCGCUUGCCUAUUUGCAUGAAGCAAUUGAACCAAAGGUUGUUCACCGAGACAUAAAGUCAAGUAAUAUCUUGAUCGAUGAUGAGUUUAAUGCUAAGGUUUCUGAUUUUGGAUUGGCCAAGCUCCUAGGUUCAGGAGAAAGCCACAUCACAACUAGAGUUAUGGGUACAUUUGGUUAUGUUGCGCCAGAAUAUGCUAAUACUGGCUUGUUAAAUGAGAAGAGUGACAUUUACAGCUUUGGUGUACUGCUGCUAGAAGCAGUCACUGGAAGGGACCCUGUGGACUAUAGCCGGCCUGUUAAUGAGGUCAAUCUUGUUGAGUGGCUAAAGAUGAUGGUGGGGACAAGAAGAGCUGAGGAAGUUCUGGACCCAAAUCUUGAAGUUAAACCAACAACACGAGCUUUAAAACAUGCUCUUUUAGCUGCAGUUAGGUGUGUUGAUCCUGAUGCAGAAAAGAGACCCAAAAUGAGUCAGGUUGUGCAAAUGCUUGAAGCAGAUGAGUACCCUUUUCGUGAGGACCGAAGGAACAGAAAGAGUCGUACGGCAAGCAUUGAAAUUGAGUCCAUGAAGGAAUCAACUGACAUGGAAAACAAGGUGGGAGAUUCAGAGAGCAAUUUCUCUGAAAUGAAUCGUGGAUAGGACUGACAAAAUUGAUCCAGAGGAAGAGUUGCUUUCUCAUCUCCUAUUUCAAAGUCUUAAAAUACAGCUAAAGUUUCAUCUUGACUUCCCUGUAUGCGAGGGAGGAAAUGGAUACAAGAUUAGCCUAUUUAGACUGUGUAGUGAUCACCAUCUCUCUUGUUGGAGUUUCCUUCAUCAGUAUGGAUUGAUGAAGAGAUGUUUUU
rnacentral:misc_RNA from 1 species